rnacentral:rRNA from 1 species
GAUGAACGCUGGCGGCGUGCCUAAUACAUGCAAGUCGAGCGAACAGACGAGGAGCUUGCUCCUCUGACGUUAGCGGCGGACGGGUGAGUAACACGUGGAUAACCUACCUAUAAGACUGGGAUAACUUCGGGAAACCGGAGCUAAUACCGGAUAAUAUAUUGAACCGCAUGGUUCAAUAGUGAAAGACGGUUUUGCUGUCACUUAUAGAUGGAUCCGCGCCGCAUUAGCUAGUUGGUAAGGUAACGGCUUACCAAGGCAACGAUGCGUAGCCGACCUGAGAGGGUGACCGGCAACACUGGAACUGAGACACGGUCCAGAACCCUAGGGGAGGCAGAAGUAGGGAAUUUUCCGCAAUGGGCGAAAGCCGGACGGAGCAACGCCGCGGGAGUGAUGAAGGUUUUCGGAUCGAAAAACUUUUUUAUUAGGAAAGAAAAAAUGUGUAAGUACCUGUGCACGUCUUGACGUUACCAAAUCAGAAAGCCAGGGCUAACUACGUG